AUGGAAGUAGAACUCACAGCACUAGAUACAGCUACGGUCGAAGAAGAUUGGCUUCGUCGGCUCUUGAAUGACUUGCCGGUUGUUGAGAAGCCUGUACCGGGUAUCCUUAUGAACUGCGACAAUCAAACUGUGAUCACGAAAGUGAGCAGCUCAAAGGAUAACAUGAAGUCAUCAAGACACGUUCAGAGAAGGUUAAAGUCUGUCUGGAAAAUGAGAAACUCCGGAGUUAUUGCAUUGGAUUACAUCCAAACGUCUAAAAAUCUGGCAGAUCCUUUUACUAAGGGUCUAUCACGUAAUGUGAUAGAUAAUGCAUCGAGGGAGUGA
rnacentral:rRNA from 1 species